rnacentral:lncRNA from 1 species
UCCAUCCCCUUUCCAUCCGUUUCUAUCGGAUCGAUAUCUUCGUUAAUGCAAAACGUCUUAAUUACAUAUUUCCUAACGCUUUUACCGGAGAUGCCUGCUGCUUCGUUAUCCAAUUUAUCUGGCUCGACUAGUCGACCAUAACAGACAACUUUUUCAUUUUGUUUUCUUCCGCGGGCUGAUCCUCUUCUCUUCUUAAUUAAGUGUCACUUAAGGAUCGGUUCCAGCGGUACAGGUAAAUAACGAUAGGGAGAAACCCUUUCGAAAUUCGAUGCGCGGUUGCCUCCGCCCGAGAGAAAAUUGCGAGAACGAAAUCAACGAAAAGAAGGAAAAAUAAUCCGCGGAGCUCACUUUUAGAGAAGAAGGGAGUUUUGAGAAGUGGCUCCGAGUCGUUGGUUGCUGCUGCUUCGUGUGUCGGUAGGAGGAUCUUUCGCAGUCCGUUAAUGCCUGUCACGUAUCUAAACGGACGUUUCUUACUCGCAAAAGCUCCGGUCUUUUCUCGUCUACGAAGCUUCUCUCUACUCGUUUUCCUAUCUAUCCAAACGUCGCGACUAUAUGCUCAUUUUAUGCGCCAGUCUAGUCGGUCCAACAACAAUUUUCCUCUUCCGUUCAACAUUUCUUUCGACAAACAAUGACACAUUAUUUUUCCUUCUUAUUCCUGAUUCAAUGUUUCUUCCAUUUCGCCUACAAAUAAUAACAUAAUUCUACACAAAUGGAAGAAGUUGUCGAUUCGACGCGGAGCUACGUAGUCCACCGAAAUAGGGCCAGACACCCUAAAUUGGGGGUAGGAAGGAGGAAAUUGAUCUAAGGGUAAAAAGCUAAUAAAACUGACAAAGAUUAUUCCUGGCAUAAGAAGAAGAAGAAAA